AUAAGUGUAUAGUGCUACUCAAAGAAUGAUUUAGUGUUUGCCUUGGCAGUGCAUAUACUAAAAUUAGAAUGAUACAGAGAUUAGUGUGGCCCCUGUGCAAGGAUGACACGUUCUAAAAAUUUAUUAAUAUUUAAAAAAAGAUCUAAAAAUCAUGAUGGAAUUUGGUAUAGAAUUUGAGAUGAAGCAUUUAGAAAGUUGUGAGCAAUUUGAGAAAGCAGUUUUUUGCCUGCUGAUUCUUUAAUAAAAAGGCAUGGUCGCUGUGUGAUUCCCAUGGCGACUGUAACACAUUACCACAAACUUCGCGGCAUAAAAAAAAUUUAUUCUGCCACAGUUCUGGAUGCCACUCCAGCCAUCCUCUUUGAAGAAGGGCCUUGAGCUAGUGAAGCAUCUCUGCCAGCAUAAGCAGAGAACAGGAAAUGCUUGGAAUUUGCAACUACCAUGCCUCCCAAGAUGGUCACAAGCUAAUGACUCAUUGGUGUGGGAGUAUGAAAGCCCAGUUCCCUUGCCUUUGUCAGGACAAACAGUGCCUUGUAACUUACAUUCCAAAAUUCCCUGCUGAAUCAGACUGGCAUCACCCCUACUUGAAGUGGUACCCUGGCUUCUUAGCUUCCCUCCCCUCCUUCCCUCAUUCCCUUGGCAAUUUAACCCGGAACACUUCUUUAAUAAAUUACUUGCAUAUGAAUCCCUAGCCUAAUAUCUCCUUAUUUUGAAGAAACUGAUCUAACACAAAGAGUAACUUUCUUUUUUUCUUUUUUUUUUUUUUUGAGACGGAGUUUCGCUCUGUCACCCAGGCUGGAGUGCAGUGGAGUGAUCUCGGCUCACUGCAAGCUCUGCCUG
rnacentral:lncRNA from 10 species